UCACUUUCAACAACGGAUCUCUUGGCUCUCGCAUCGAUGAAGAACGUAGCGAAGUGCGAUAAGUAAUGUGAAUUGCAAAAUUCCGUGAAUCAUCGAAUCUUUGAACGCAAAUUGUACUCUCUGGCAACCCGGGGAGUAUGCCUGUUUGAGGGUCAGU
rnacentral:rRNA from 1 species